CUCAAGUGUCCGCGGCCGGCCCGAGGGGGUCACCUUGGCGGCGCCGUCGGGCGGCGGGGCGAUGUCGCCGGGACCCCGCUGUGCUCGCAGGACCCCUCCGGUCCCCCCAUUUCGGAGCCAGCAGCCCUGCCCCGGGCAGAUCAGUCCUUGUUCCAAUAUAUCUCUCACAGUUCCUGAAUUUUGAUCCUCAUUGAAGUGAGCAGCAGUUUGGUUGGUGACACAGCCACUUAUACCUCUUCAAGCUGCAAAAUAUCAGGCUUGAAAACGGCACGGAGUACACUUCUGAGCCUGGCAAUAAAGUGACAGCAUGCCAGAAGCAACCUCGUGACAGCUUCUUACAAACCUACAACCACUGCUAAGAGCUUUCCCCUAGCUCCAUCAGGUGUCAAAAAACCAAAAGCAUAUAUAUAUAUAUAUUUCUGACACUGUAAACUUUAUUAUACCAA